rnacentral:lncRNA from 1 species
UUAACAUUUGACCCGACCUGUUUAUAUCCCACCCGAUCCGAUUGCCAUCCCUAUCCCGAACUGCCCGGUUCGGAAUAUACCGAGCCAUAUUGAUGGCUGACCGAGAUGUUUUCGACCUUCAAAUUGAGAAACCAGCAAAGGAAGGGGGAGAGAAAGAAGGAAAGAGAGGGAGAGAGAGAGGAACGAAAGGAAGGAGAGGGCAGCGGUGCCGAAAUAGGGCUUUCGAAGCCCUAUCUCCUUUAUGCGUUGGAACAUGGGCUAAGCCCCUGUUCAAUAGAAAAUAGAAAUUUCAGUCCUUUUUUAUUUUUUAAAUUUUUUAAGUGAAGUCGGUAGCCAUUGUUGACUUCACUUAUUAUUAUUAUUAUUUUUGAAAUUUUUUAAGUGAAGUCGGUGGCCACUGCGGACUUCACUUAAAAAAAUUCAAAAAAAAUAUAGGGUAAAUUACAAACCCUCCCCCCAUUACUGACUUCAAUUAAAAAAUUCAGAAAAAAUAUAUAAUAAAUUACAAACCCUCCCCAUGAGAUUAGGGGUUAAUUACACUUAUCCAAUUAUUUGAAAAACCUGCACUUACCCUCCCGACUUUAUUUUAUCCAUCACUUUAACCCAUAACUUAACAGAACGUUAGUCAAACUGUUAAUCUUAAAUGGGACCCAAAUGCCAUGUUAGAAAAAAUUCAAAAAUGACCAAAAUAACUUUAAGUCGUGGCCAUACAAGAACAUAAGAAAACACGUGCAGAUUUUACAAACUAUUAGGUGUAAGUGUAAUAAACGUAAACCUCAAGUGUUUUUUUGUAAUUUAUUCAAAAAUAUAAAAAUAU